rnacentral:rRNA from 1 species
GAUGAACGCUAGCUACAGGCUUAACACAUGCAAGUCGAGCGACCGGCGCACGGGUGAGUAACACGUAUCCAUCCCGCCCUUUACUCGGGGAUAGCCUUUCGAAAGAACGAUUAAUACCCGACGUAAUGGACGGGGAUGCGUUCCAUUAGGUUGUUGUUGAGGUAACGGCUCACCAAGCCUUCGAUGGAUCGGGGUUCUGAGAGGAAGGUCCCCCACAUUGGAACUGAGGCACGGUCCAAACUCCUACGGGAGGCAGCAGUGAGGAAGAUUGGUCAAUGGGCGUUAGCCUGAACCAGCCAAGUAGCGUGAAGGAUGAAGGCUUAUGGGUCGUAAACUUCUUUUAUAUAAGAAUAUGUAUUAUAUGAAUAAGGAUCGGCUAACUACGUGCCAGCAGCCGCGGUAAUAC